AUGAAAAGGAAGGCACCACUCAUUGGUGUGAACAAGUGGUCUGCCAUUGAUUCUUCUGUGAAGGAUGCAAUCGUUGCUGAUGUCAUUGCUAAGUGGGAUUUGGAGGACACAUAUUCUACGAAGGGAAAAAUACUAACAAUUGCUAGAGAGCGCUAUAGAGGAUGGCGGUCAACUUUGCAUUCAACAUACAAAGCAUACAAUACUGAUGCUCAAAGAAGGGCCAAUAAACCCGAGGAUGUAACUCCAGAGGAGUGGGAUUAUAUGAUCAAUUAUUUUGGCAUUGAUUUAAAAUUCCAGGUUACUUCUGUGUACAUUACUAGGUGUAGUAAGUAA
rnacentral:rRNA from 1 species